UUUCCGUAGGUGAACCUGCGGAAGGAUCAUUACCGAGUUUUCGAGCUCCGGCUCGACUCUCCCACCCCAUGUGUACCUACCUCUGUUGCUUUGGCGGGCCGCGGUCCUCCGCACCGACCCCCGUUCGGGGGCCGGCCAGCGCCCGCCAGAGGACCACAAAACUCCAGUCAGUAAACGUCGCAGUCUGAGAAACAAGUUAAUAAACUAAAACUUUCAACAACGGAUCUCUUGGUUCUGGCAUCGAUGAAGAACGCAGCGAAAUGCGAUAAGUAAUGUGAAUUGCAGAAUUCAGUGAAUCAUCGAAUCUUUGAACGCACAUUGCGCCCCUUGGUAUUCCGAGGGGCAUGCCUGUUCGAGCGUCAUUUCAACCCUCAAGCUCUGCUUGGUAUUGGGCUCCGUCCUCCGCGGACGCGCCUCGAAGACCUCGGCGGUGGCGUCUUGCCUCAAGCGUAGUAGAAAACACCUCGCUUUGGAGCGCAUGGCGUCGCCCGCCGGACGAACCUUUGAAUUUUUUCUCAAGGUUGACCUCGGAUCAGGUAGGGAUACCCGCUGAACUUAA
rnacentral:rRNA from 1 species